CCUACGGGAGGCUGCAGUGGGGAAUAUUGGACAAUGGGGGGAACCCUGAUCCAGCCAUGCCGCGUGUGUGAAGAAGGCCCUCGGGUUGUAAGGCACUUUCAGUGAGGAAGAACGCCUGGUGGUUAAUACCCAUCAGGAAAGACAUCACUCACAGAAGAAGCACCGGCUAACUCCGUGCCAGCAGCCGCGGUAAUACGGAGGGUGCGAGCGUUAAUCGGAAUUACUGGGCGUAAAGCGCGCGUAGGUGGCUUGAUAAGCCGGUUGUGAAAGCCCCGGGCUCAACCUGGGAACGGCAUCCGGAACUGUCAAGCUAGAGUGCAGGAGAGGAAGGUAGAAUUCCCGGUGUAGCGGUGAAAUGCGUAGAGAUCGGGAGGGAUACCAGUGGCGAAGGCGGCCUUCUGGACUGACACUGACACUGAGGUGCGAAAGCGUGGGUAGCAAACAGGAUUAGAUACCCUUGUAGUC
rnacentral:rRNA from 1 species